UACACCUGUUUCUCACUAGAACCGGAAAACGGAGGUGAUGAAUUCGAAGAUACCGGUAGCUGAAAAAUGAAGUUGACCUCUGGUUACAUGACAAAGCACUCCGGCAUAUUAAAAAGCAAGGCACUCAUCCAACACAAGAGGCACUUGGACCAGGAAACAGAGUUGCUACGUCAUCACUUAGCAAGCUGCACUAAUGUAUACCUAAAAAAUGAUGAGAUAAACCAUGGUUUCAUUCAGCAACUCCGUCCCAACACCUCCCUCAGAAGGUCCAAGAGCAGGGAUGGUAUGGAGGAAGCUGUUGUUUACCAAGAUAAGCUGCCCAUUGUCUCUGGUGGGAAUUCCCUGUGGGAGAGAGCGCCACGGGAACACGACUUCGGCAUGGCAUGAGAAACUAACCGCAGAGCUGCUAGACUCACGUGGUGGGGCUUCUGUCUAUCCACUGGGAUCUGGUGCCAGGGGUAAGAUGGUCAUCCCCUGGGACAGCGAGAGAUGAACACGUCGAGGACGAUAAUUGAUCUGCAUGCAUGCACUGGAUUAGGAGACAUUGAUGGCAAUUUGUUAAGGUGACUGUGAGUAAUUCAAACUGGUCCACAGUCCUUUGGGUCUCAUUAGCUGAAGAAGGCUGAAGAUAUGCUCUGUAGACCUUUACUAAAACCACUGGCAGAAAAACGGGCCAUCUUUGUCCUUGAUCAUGCAUUAAUGCUUUCAUUUACACAGCAGUGUUUGUUACACAUUUGAUAACAAUGUAUCAGAGAGUAAGUGAAUACUGCUAACUGAUCCGUAAAUUUGCCCUCUUCACACAACUAACUAUGAAAGUGCAAAAUAACUUGAGG